GGUUACUGCUAUCGGUGUUCGCCUAAGCCAUGCGAGUCAUAUGUUCUUCGGAACAUGGCGUACUGCUCAGUAACACGUGGAUAACCUGCCCUUGGGUCCGGCAUAACCCCGGGAAACUGGGGAUAAUUCCGGAUAACGCACAUAUGCUGGAAUGCUUUAUGCGUCAAAUGGAUUCGUCCGCCCAAGGAUGGGUCUGCGGCCUAUCAGGUAGUAGUGGGUGUAAUGUACCUACUAGCCUACGACGGGUACGGGUUGUGAGAGCAAGAGCCCGGAGAUGGAUUCUGAGACAUGAAUCCAGGCCCUACGGGGCGCAGCAGGCGCGAAAACUUUACAAUGCGGGAAACCGUGAUAAGGGGACACCGAGUGCCAGCAUCAUAUGCUGGCUGUCCAGGUGUGUAAAAUACACCUGUUAGCAAGGGCCGGGCAAGACCGGUGCCAGCCGCCGCGGUAACACCGGCGGCCCGAGUGGUGAUCGUGAUUAUUGGGUCUAAAGGGUCCGUAGCCGGUUUGGUCAGUCCUCCGGGAAAUCUGACGGCUUAACCGUUAGGCUUUCGGGGGAUACUGCCAGACUUGGAACCGGGAGAGGUAAGAGGUACUACAGGGGUAGGAGUGAAAUCUUGUAAUCCCUGUGGGACCACCUGUGGCGAAGGCGUCUUACCAGAACGGGUUCGACGGUGAGGGACGAAAGCUGGGGGCACGAACCGGAUUAGAUACCCGGGUAGUCCCAGCCGUAAACGAUGCUCGCUAGGUGUCAGGCAUGGCGCGACCGUGUCUGGUGCCGCAGGGAAGCCGUGAAGCGAGCCACCUGGGAAGUACGGCCGCAAGGCUGAAACUUAA
rnacentral:rRNA from 1 species